UCCCUGGUGGUCUAGUGAUCAAGACUCUGCCUUUCAAUGCAGGGGACACAGAUUCAAUCCCUGGUCAGGGAA
rnacentral:tRNA from 1 species